rnacentral:rRNA from 1 species
GAUGAACGCUGGCGGCGUGCUUAACACAUGCAAGUCGAACGAUGAAGCCCAGCUUGCUGGGUGGAUUAGUGGCGAACGGGUGAGUAACACGUGAGUAACCUGCCCCCGACUCUGGGAUAAGCCCGGGAAACUGGGUCUAAUACCGGAUAUGACCUCGCACCGCAUGGUGCGGGGUGGAAAGAUUUAUCGGUGGGGGAUGGACUUGCGGCCUAUCAGCUUGUUGGUGAGGUAAUGGCUCACCAAGGCGACGACGGGUAGCCGGCCUGAGAGGGUGACCGGCCACACUGGGACUGAGACACGGCCCAGACUCCUACGGGAGGCAGCAGUGGGGAAUAUUGCACAAUGGGCGAAAGCCUGAUGCAGCGACGCCGCGUGAGGGAUGACGGCCUUCGGGUUGUAAACCUCUUUCAGUAGGGAAGAAGCGAAAGUGACGGUACCUGCAGAAGAAGCGCCGGCUAACUACGUGCCAGCCGCCGCAGUAA